AGAGUUUGAUCCUGGCUCAGGAUGAACGCUAGCUACAGGCUUAACACAUGCAAGUCGAGGGGAAACGAUAGAGAAAGCUUGCUUUUUCUAGGCGUCGACCGGCGCACGGGUGAGUAACGCGUAUCCAACCUGCCCACCACUUGGGGAUAACCUUGCGAAAGUAAGACUAAUACCCAAUGAUAUCUCUAGAAGACAUUCUGAAAGGGAUUAAAGAUUCAUCGGUGAUGGAUGGGGAUGCGUCUGAUUAGCUUGUUGGCGGGGUAACGGCCCACCAAGGCGACGAUCAGUAGGGGUUCUGAGAGGAAGGUCCCCCACAUUGGAACUGAGACACGGUCCAAACUCCUACGGGAGGCAGCAGUGAGGAAUAUUGGUCAAUGGGCGAGAGCCUGAACCAGCCAAGUAGCGUGCAGGAUGACGGCCCUAUGGGUUGUAAACUGCUUUUAUAAGGGAAUAAAGUGAGAGUCGUGACUCUUUUUGCAUGUACCUUAUGAAUAAGGACCGGCUAAUUCCGUG
rnacentral:rRNA from 1 species